rnacentral:rRNA from 1 species
UUUUUUAAAAAUAUUUUUUUUUUUUUUUUUUUAGAGAAAGAAACCACAGGGAUGCCUUCGUAGCGGCGAGUGAAGCGGCAAAAGCUCAAAUUUGAAAUCUGGCACCUUCGGUGUCCGAGUUGUAAUUUGAAGAUUGUAACCUUGGGGUUGGCUCUUGUCUAUGUUUCUUGGAACAGGACGUCACAGAGGGUGAGAAUCCCGUGCGAUGAGAUGCCCAAUCCUAUGUAAGGUGCUUUCGAAGAGUCGAGUUGUUUGGGAAUGCAGCUCUAAGUGGGUGGUAAAUUCCAUCUAAAGCUAAAUAUUGGCGAGAGACCGAUAGCGAACAAGUACAGUGAUGGAAAGAUGAAAAGAACUUUGAAAAGAGAGUGAAAAAGUACGUGAAAUUGUUGAAAGGGAAGGGUUUGAGAUCAGACUCGAUAUUUUGUGAGCCUUGCCUUCGUGGCGGGGUGACCCGCAGCUUAUCGGGCCAGCAUCGGUUUGGGCGGUAGGAUAAUGGCGUAGGAAUGUGACUUUGCUUCGGUGAAGUGUUAUAGCCUGCGUUGAUGCUGCCUGCCUAGAGCGAGGACUGCGAUUUAUCAAUCUAGUUGCUACUGUACGAAGGUGGGG